GAUGAACGCUGGCGGCGUGCUUAACACAUGCAAGUCGAACGAAGACAUCUGAGUGCUUGCACUUGGAUGGACUGAGUGGCGGACGGGUGAGUAACGCGUGGGUAACCUGCCUUAUACAGGGGGAUAACAGUUGGAAACGACUGCUAAUACCGCAUAAGCGCACGGUAUCGCAUGAUACAGUGUGAAAAACUCCGGUGGUAUAAGAUGGACCCGCGUCUGAUUAGCCAGUUGGCGGGGUAACGGCCCACCAAAGCGACGAUCAGUAGCCGACCUGAGAGGGUGACCGGCCACAUUGGGACUGAGACACGGCCCAGACUCCUACGGGAGGCAGCAGUGGGGAAUAUUGCACAAUGGGCGAAAGCCUGAUGCAGCGACGCCGCGUGAAGGAUGAAGUAUUUCGGUAUGUAAACUUCUAUCAGCAGGAGAAAAUGACGGUACCUGACUAAGAAGCCCCGGCUAACUACGUG
rnacentral:rRNA from 1 species